UCGAUAUUGCUUUGGCAGUACGCUGGCUUCUUAGAGGGACUAUCGGCUCAAGCCGAUGGAAGUUUGAGGCAAAACGAGGCUGUGAUGCCCUUAGAUGUUCUGGGCCGCACGCCCUCUACACUGACGGAGCCAGCGAGUACUUCCUUGUCCGAAAGGUCCGGGUAAUCUUGUUAAACUCCGUCGUGCUGGGGAUAGAGCAUUGCAAUUAUUGCUCUUCAACGAGGAAUCCCUAGUAAGCGCAAGUCAUCAGCUUGCGUUGAUUACGUCCCUGCCCUUUGUACACACCGCCCGUCGCUACUACCGAUUGAAUGGCUA
rnacentral:rRNA from 1 species